AUGGAGGAGCUACCUGCCGCGGUCGUAAUGGAAGCAGAGGAGCCGACCCCUCCUGCCCCUCCCCCACGAGCAGGACAGGGCUGCCGGCUGGGCACGCCCCUACUCCUCCGCCUCCUUGAUCAGAGACCCCCUUCCCCUACUGUUGCUUGGCGCGCCGCAUCACUAGUCACCUCCUCAUGCAAGAAGUACACAAUAAAUAGACAGACGGUCAGUGAGGUACAUUUUCACAGCAACAUAAGCUUAAAAUUAACACAAAUACACACAUCAAAUGAAGUCACUAAGAUACUUAAGUCCACCACAUGGUGUAGAAUUAUGUGGUAUAUAAUUGCAACACAUGAAUUAAAUGAGGAAUAA
rnacentral:rRNA from 1 species